UAGGGAAUCUUCGGCAAUGGGGGCAACCCUGACCGAGCAACGCCGCGUGAGUGAAGAAGGUUUUCGGAUCGUAAAGCUCUGUUGUAAGAGAAGAACGUGUGUGAGAGUGGAAAGUUCACACAGUGACGGUAACUUACCAGAAAGGGACGGCUAACUACGUGCCAGCAGCCGCGGUAAUACGUAGGUCCCGAGCGUUGUCCGGAUUUAUUGGGCGUAAAGCGAGCGCAGGCGGUUUAAUAAGUCUGAAGUUAAAGGCAGUGGCUUAACCAUUGUUCGCUUUGGAAACUGUUAAACUUGAGUGCAGAAGGGGAGAGUGGAAUUCCAUGUGUAGCGGUGAAAUGCGUAGAUAUAUGGAGGAACACCGGUGGCGAAAGCGGCUCUCUGGUCUGUAACUGACGCUGAGGCCCGAAAGCGUGGGGAGCAAACAGG
rnacentral:rRNA from 1 species